GCCCGAGUGGCGGAAUGGUAGACGCACAGGACUUAAAAUCCUGAGGAGGAAACUCCGUGCCGGUUCGAGUCCGGCCUCGGGCACCA
rnacentral:tRNA from 1 species